UUCAUCCUCAACUGCUUACUUUAGUGCCAGAAAUUCUACCAUUAGGAAUGUAUUUCUGUGCACAAUGCCUAGAGGGAUGCUCAUUAAAUCAGUGAUAUCCAAGAGAGAAGCUGUCCUCCUCCUCUGACAGCUACAUGCUAAGGAAAAGAAAGGUCCUGAUAAGCUUUCAGAUUUCUGUGUUCUCUUCCUUCUUUCUGUCCAUGUUCCAGAGCCCAAAGGAGUUGCAAAUAUAUCGACAAAUCUCUACUAUUUCUAGUGAGGUUGCCUUCUGCUUUUUGGACUCCUAAUUGUCCUAAGUUACAUGAAAAUUCAUCAGCUUCUCAGCAGAGAAGGUCAGUGGUUUGAUCAGAGUCUCAGAGUGACCUGUGACUACCCACA